rnacentral:rRNA from 1 species
UACGGAGGGUGCAAGCGUUAAUCGGAAUUACUGGGCGUAAAGCGCACGCAGGCGGUCUGUUAAGUCAGAUGUGAAAUCCCCGGGCUUAACCUGGGAACUGCAUUUGAAACUGGCAGGCUUGAGUCUUGUAGAGGGGGGGUAGAAUUCCAGGUGUAGCGGUGAAAUGCGUAGAGAUCUGGAGGAAUACCGGUGGCGAAGGCGGCCCCCCUGGACAAAGACUGACGCUCAGGUGCGAAAGCGUGGGGAGCAAACAGG